rnacentral:RNase_P_RNA from 1 species
UGAGUUGACUAGACAGUCGCUGUGCUAAUUUCUCUUGGUUUUUGCUUGCAAAUUGACAGGGUAUUACGCAGAGGAAAGUCCGGGCUCCACAGGGUAGAGUGCCAGGUAACGCCUGGGGGGCGAAAGCCUACGGAAAGUGCCGCAGAGAGCAGACCGCCGAUGGUUCGCGUGCGAAAACAGGUAAGGGUGAAAGGGUGCGGUAAGAGCGCACCGCGUCACUGGUAACAGUGGCGGCAGGGUAAACCCCACUCGGAGCAAGACCAAAUAGGUUUCCAUAUGGCGUGACCCGCGUUGGAAACGGGUAGGUUGCUUGAGGCAAACGGUGACGUUUGUCCCAGAUGAAUGGCUGUCCACGACAGAACCCGGCUUAUCGGUUGACUCAUUGA